UAGUCCACGCCGUAAACGAUGUCUACUUGGAGGUUGUGGCCUUGAGCCGUGGCUUUCGGAGCUAACGCGUUAAGUAGACCGCCUGGGGAGUACGGUCGCAAGAUUAAAACUCAAAUGAAUUGACGGGGGCCCCCACAAGCGGUGGAGCAUGUGGUUUAAUUCGAUGCAACGCGAAGAACCUUACCUACUCUUGACAUCCAGAGAACUUUCCAGAGAUGGAUUGGUGCCUUCGGGAACUCUGAGACAGGUGCUGCAUGGCUGUCGUCAGCUCGUGUUGUGAAAUGUUGGGUUAAGUCCCGCAACGAGCGCAACCCUUAUCCUUGUUUGCCAGCGAGUAAUGUCGGGAACUCCAGGGAGACUGCCGGUGAUAAACCGGAGGAAGGUGGGGACGACGUCAAGUCAUCAUGGCCCUUACGAGUAGGGCUACACACGUGCUACAAUGGCGCAUACAGAGGGCAGCCAACUUGCGAAAGUGAGCGAAUCCCAAAAAGUGCGUCGUAGUCCGGAUUGGAGUCUGCAACUCGACUCCAUGAAGUCGGAAUCGCUAGUAAUCGUGGAUCAGAAUGCCACGGUGAAUACGUUCCCGGGCCUUGUACACACCGCCCGUCACACCAUGGGAGUGGGCUGCAAAAGAAGUAGGUAGUUUAACCUUCGGGGGGACGCUUACC
rnacentral:rRNA from 1 species